rnacentral:rRNA from 1 species
CCUACGGGUGGCAGCAGUGAGGAAUAUUGGUCAAUGGGAGGAAUCCUGAACCAGCCAUGCCGCGUGCAGGACGACGGCUCUACGAGCUGUAAACUGCUUUUGUACCGGGGUAAAAUGCCCUACGUGUAGGGUUUUGCAAGUACGGUAUGAAACAGGAUCGGCUAACUCCGUGCCAGCACCCGCGGUAAUACGGAGGGUAGGAGCGUUAUCUGGAUGCGUUGGGUUUAAAGGGUGCGUAGGGUGUUUUAUAAGUUAGCGGUGAAAUACCGAGGCUCAACAUCGGGGCUUCCGCUAAUACUGUAGGACUAGAGAGCGGAUGCAGCAGGCGGAAUGUGUAGUGUAGCGGUGAAAUGCAUAGAUAUUACACAGAACACCGAUUGCGAAGGCAGCUUGCUAGGCCGGAUCUGACACUGAUGCACGAAAGCGUGGGGAUCGAACAGGAUUAGAUACCCUAGUAGUC